rnacentral:rRNA from 1 species
GACGAACGCUGGCGGCGUGCUUAACACAUGCAAGUCGAACGGAAAGGCCCCUUCGGGGGUCCUCGAGUGGCGAACGGGUGCGUAACACGUGAGUAACCUGCCCUUGCCUUCGGGAUAACUUCAGGAAACUGGGGCUACUACCGGAUAGGAAUCCUUGCUGCAUGGUGGGGGAUGGAAAGCUUCGGCGGUCUUGGAUGGACUCGCGGGCUAUCAGCUUGUUGGUGGGGUAGUGGCUUACCAAGGCUUUGACGGGGAGCCGGCCUGAGGGAGCGAACGGCCACAUUAGGAUUGAGAGAGGGCCCAGACUCCUGCGGGAGGCAGAAGGGGGGAAUAUUGCACAAUGGGCGGCAGCCUGAGGGAGGAAGGCCGCGGGCGGGAUGACGGCCUUCGGGGUGAAAGACGAGUUCAGCAGGGGCGAAGCGUGUGGUGACGGUACCUGCAGAAGAAGCACCGGCUAACUACGUG